rnacentral:rRNA from 1 species
GUCCACGCCGUAAACGUUGGGCACUAGGUGUGGGUUUCAACCAACGAAAUCCGCGCCGUCGCUAACGCAUUAAGUGCCCCGCCUGGGGAGUACGGCCGCAAGGUUAAAACUCAAAGGAAUUGACGGGGGCCCGCACAAGCAGCGGAGCGUGUUGCUUAAUUCGAUGCAACGCGAAGAACCUUACCUGGGCUUGACAUGUCGGGAAAAGCCGUAGAGAUACGGUGUCCUUCGGGGCCCGACACAGGUGGUGCAUGGCUGUCGU